GAGCCCGGAGCGGGGGGAAGGCACCCCCCGAGCGGCACGUCCCGCACAGCAGCAGGGGAGCGAGCGGGGCUCCCUCACGGUGUGGGUCUGCGGAGGGCACGCACUGCACGGAGGCGCGGGUGUCCCCGGCAGCAGCAAACCGCGGGGUUACCACAUGCGGGCGGAGAGAGAUGCUGUGGCUGUUCUCCAAGGCUGGGAUGUGCUGAGGAAAGGACAAGAUGCAGGUUAAAACCUCUCCCUCUGGAAAGGAAUAGAGGCAUUUCUGAGACACAAAUAGCUUCCCAGACCGAACGGGGAGUUUCAAACCACUGUGUUUUCCAAAGCCUCCCCGGCCAACCUUUAGUGAGUAAGAGCUACAAUGGACACGACCAAAAAGGUGGUUUCCACACAGGGCAAGUCCAUGAAGCCUGACUUACUGGCCCUCAAUUGCAAGAACCACUGGAAUUCUCCCUUCUUAAGAACAGAGGUGCAAGAUGUGAUGCCAGCCUCAUUUUCACUGAAACUGGUGACGGUUUGGGUACUGCUGUCACUCAGAACAAGCUGCCUCAGCACUUUUCCCCUCAGAGGGAAGGAAAUGAAACAAUGUGCCUAAAUUAAGGAUGUGGGUUUUUUCAGCAUCUAAACUGAGCACUUCCACCAGCCAACUUCAUGCUGACCACAAAACCUACAUGGAAGUGGACAAUUGACCCCAGCACCAAUUCUCCUCUACUGACAAGGCCGAACUGCUGCAUCUCAAGAUGCAAAUCUCAAGAUCUGCACAUCUAGUUUACCCAAAUAGUGACAGCCUGAGCUCUCAACAGUGUGUCAGUGCCCAGCUAUCACUAGUGUCCCUCUGCAAAGCAAGGAGAAUCCUGUGCUCCUGCAAAACACAUACUGGAUCUGGACAGAAAACAUCACAUUAGCUGUGAUCCUUCUAAGCAGGAAAGUACAACUUGAAUGCUGGCCUCCUGAAUGCAGAAGGAGUUCAUGUGGAGUUUCAGGUACUUUCAAGGACUCAGUUGCUGUGGCUCACCUUGGGUAUUUCCAGAAGAUAUUCCAGAAACAAUUUUAUAGUCGACCUGGAUUUCACCCCAGAUUCUUGCAGGACAAAUGACCUAAGAAACUGUAUGAUGCAAAAAGUAAAUCCCCCGAAACAGAAAAAAUAGCUACCAUUACAAGUAUCUGAUGUAAAAAAAUAGUAUAUACAUGUUCUCAAUAUGUAAAAUACAAUUUAUUGUAUUUAGGCCAUUCAUAAGUAUCAACACAAUGUUUGAAACAAACAUCUUACCAAUAAAUACUAGCUAAACAUUGAUAUUAA